CCCUCCUUCCGGUUCUUCAGGUCCUUCCGGGGGCGGGUCGUGCCGGCUCCGAGCUGCUCGGGUUCCGCUGUUCGCUGUACGUGACGCGAAGUGGAAGCGAAGCAGGUGCACCGGGGAGCUGCGGGAAGGGCUGGCGGGGGCCUCCGGACCCUCGGGGGUCGCAGAGAAGGAGGGGCGGGGCUGACCUCGGUCCGACGAGGGGGGACGCGCCCUCCCCCGCCUCGCUCGGCAGGGAGGCCCCGAAGCGGGUUUCCAGUGGUCCAGGAGACGGGCGGCGAGAGCCUGGCUGAGCCCCUGACCCCAGGCCUCAGGGUGGGCGCUCCCUGCAGCCCUUCUUUGCCUGAAGAAGGUGCUCUGUGAGGGUGGAAGGUUUGUGCAUCCAAGUGACUAAAGCCUGAUUCCAGAAGUUUCUCUGAUGCCCUUGGCUUUGCAGGCUGUCGGGCUAGAGGGCAGCAGGGAAGGGAACACAUAAUCAUUAUGAGAAAUAAAUACUGUUAUUGUUCGGUUAGUUGUUUUACACUAACGAUCUGUUGGGAUAAAGAUGCGAGCUACGGUUGAAGGGAAUGGCCAGGGUGCAGAAUUGACUGGACGAGUGUUCAGUGAGGAGGGACUAGAGGGUGCGGGCGGAGAUGUUGGCAGCAUUGCAUAAGAUUUUAAGAGCCUGAUGUUUGGGUUCAGGUCAGGUCCUGUCACAAAACAGCAUCGCAUCCCAGGGCGUGUUAUUUAGACCAAUCCUGUUUCCUCACCUGUAAAAUGGGCACAGGUCCAGCGCACCAGGCACUUGACCCUUGGGACUCCCAAGUGUAAGUUCCAGCUGCUGGAAAUGUGGCUCCAAGGCCCAGGCUGACACAAAACCAGUCCAGUGAAGUAGGAAGCAGCAGGCCUCGGGAACAGAAAUCACGAUGGGAAGAACAUAUUCCUGAACUGAAACCUCUCCCUACAAUUUCAGUGUGGAGGCAGAAGAAUCCUGGAAAGGAACGUGCUCAAGUUACUGGCCAGAAUUUUCCCCUCUGGUGUGAGCAAAGUCUGGGCGAUAACACCGUAAUUGUAGCUCAGCAAAACUUUAGUUCAACUUUCAAAAGAACGAUGUGAGCUGCAAUUGAAGGGAAUGGGCAGGAUGAGAAUCUGAUACGAAACGACACUUUCCUGAAGGAUUUGGGGGCUCUGGGUUGAGGAAGAGGAAGGAAUAGGGACCAGCUAUAGCCAAGGAAAUGGUUUCUCAUCACUUCCCAAGCACAUAUGUGUCAUUCCCUGUACCCUCCACUCUGUUUAUUCUGAGCUGCUCAAACCAUAUUUACCACCACACUUGGGGUUCAUUGAAUGGCCCCCUUAUAGAAUCGCAGUGGAGGUAAAGAGAAGGUUUCUAAAACUCUGUAACUUUGCCUUAUUUUUUUUAAGCUUAUUUAUUUAUUUACUUUGAGAGAUACAGAGAAUGCAGGUGGGGCAGGGGCAGAGAAAUGGGGAGAAUCCCAAGCAGGCUCCACGCCACCAGCGCAGAGCCCAUGUGGGGCUUGAACUGACGAAACCGUGAGAUCCUGACCCGAGCCGAAAUCAAGAGCCAGAUGCUCAAAUGACUGAGCCACCCAGGCACCCCACUCUGCCUUAUCUUAUAAGUAGAACUCAGAAAGUAAAUAUCCAGUUACACAGUUUGCUGGUAACAGCCAAGAACUGAAUCCAAGUCUCGAUUUCCAGGUCAGGGCUCUAUCGUCUCCCACAUUUAGGUUAAAGCAAGUUUCUCAGCAAAACCUCCUCUUGUGAAACUUCAUCUAAGAGAGGCCAGACAAAAAGGCAAACAUCUGAAAACACUUGCUCUCCUUUCUGAGCUUCUGGAUUCUCCGCCCUCGAGCGGCUAAAAAAUAUUAGUAGGAAAAUAGGUAAAUGACAUCAUUUCAACAUUUCCUGUGCCAAGAAGUAUUGUAAUCCUAGUAUUUUUAAUGCUGGAAAAGUGUUCCAAACUUUGUAUAUCCUAAAUUUUAUUGUUCCAGUUAUUGCACACAGGUUCUUUUUGAUUGUUUCAAAGGCUUAAAUUGAUGGUAAUUCCAUAAAAAACAACGGUUUAUAUUCACUCAGUAAGAAAAGUUCUCUGGGAUCAUUUCAGAAUUAUAAACAGGCAAGUGGAGGGGCGUUUGGGUGGCUCCGUCGGUUAAAUAACUGACUUCAGCUCAGGUCUUAUCUCCCGGUUUGUGAGUUUGAGCCCCGCGUCCAUGUCUGUGCUGACAGCUCAGAGCCUGGAGCCUGCUUCGAAUUCUGUGUCUCCCUCUCCCUCACCCGCUCACACUCUGUCUUUCUCUCUCAAAAAUAAAUAAACAGUAAAAAAAAUUUUUUUUUAAGUAAAUGGACAAGUGGAUAAUCAGUCGCCAGAUUGGUCAAAGGACCACUCUCUUGAUAAGUAAUCCUAAGCCGCUGAGUUACCCAGACCUCAUGAUUCCAUUCCUCAUUCUUCCUUACCCAGCUCUGGUAUCACCACUCUUGGCCCUUUCUCAAGAGCAUCCGAAAAUGAACAAAUCCCAGGUAAGUUGUUUAGGGCUUUACUUCCCACAUUUUACAGUGGAUUUCGAGGAGGCUGAUAGUAAUUUGUACAUGCAGAUGAAAUAGUAGAAACGUGUAAAAUAAAGCAUCAGAGAAAAGUAUCAGAUCACCACCGGAAAGGCUGGCAUAAAUAUACAGAAAUCAUAUGUUCCUAUGGACUUACUCAAGUUGUACCAGAAAGGCCCAGACAAUAUGAACUAGGUUUUACACUGGCUAUUUGAAUGGCUUUCUUGUCAUUUUCUUAGAUGGUCUCUGAAUAACUGACAUAGAGGCCAGUCUUGCCAAGGCAAUGGGUUUUCUGUGACUUUCGUUCUCCGUUAUUAGAGGGGACCGAUUCAUUGUCAUCUGAAUAGACACCAUGCAGAUGAUUCCCUGUGAUCUAGUUUUUAUCCAGGGAUAAAAACUAGAAUAAUGGAUUGCAUGCUCCCCAAAUAGUGCCCUGUAACUAUUUCUUUCAGCUUUAUCUUUGAAACAGGCUUAGAGGGAACAAUGCAGUGUUCUGUUCUGUGGAUAAAACGUCCUCACUUGACGGUGUCAUUUCAACUCACUUCGUGUAGUCUUGUAUCUGUUCCCACCCCUCCCAUGGAUCUGGUCAAAGUUGGCAGUAACCUAAAUAUUUUCACACCCAGUGGGUGUUUUCCAGUCCAUGCUUUAUUGAAUCUGUGGCCUCUGACAGUCGAUAAUAUAGAUUAUAAUAUAAUCUAGUUUGGUAAUUUCUAAAUUAUUUUAGACCCCUCCCUAAAAAUCAUCUACGAGCCAGUGAUUUCAUGCAAAUAUCCAACAUUGCUUAUGUGUACAGCUGAUUAUAGUAUGCUGUGCACUUACUCCCACUUUGCAUUCUACGAAAGUUGAAUUGUCUUCAGAGAUAAUGUGAUCUUUAUUAUUUUUUAAUAUUUAAAAAAUUUUAAGUUUAUUUUGGGAGAGAAAGAGAAUGUGUGGGGGAGGGGCAGAGAGGAAGAGAGAAUCCCCAGCAGGCUCUGCACUGUCAGUGCAGAGCCUGACUGGUGACUCGAUCCCACGAACCAGGAGAUGACCUGAGCCAAGAUCAAGACUUGGACACUCGACCAACUGAGCCACCCAGGUGCCCCGAUAACUCAAUCUUUAAUACAGGGAAAACGUUCAUCCAACAGCAGUUAUUUUGUGUUGACUCUCCUAAGGACCUCAUCGAUUGGAUUUUGACCUCAUCUUGAUUUUAUCUGCAAAGGUCCUAUUUCUAAAUAAGGUCACAUUUGCAGGUAGCAGGGUGUGCGAUAAUAGAAAAUACAUAUAUUGAUUUCUGCUCCUGGUUCCUGGCACAGAGCUCCUAAACCCCUUAGAGUUUCAUCGCUGACUGUGGUGUCUUUUCUUGUAAUGGGGUGACUCUUGCUGGGCUCCUGGAUGGGAGGCAGUCACCAGAAGGACCAAGCCACGAUUAGAAGCUUGAAAUUUUCAGCCCACCCCCAUUCUCCAGAGAGGGGAGAGGGGCUAAACAUGGAGUUCACGAUCCAUCAUGCCUACAUGAUGAAGCCUCUGUAACAAAAAUGCCAAUAGCACGGGCUUCGGAGACCUUCCAGGUUACUGAAAGCAUGGCGAUGCUGGGAGAGUGGCGGCCCCAGGACCGACAUGGAAGCCCUGUGCCCCUUCGCAUACUAGGUCCCACACAUCUCUUCCGGUAAGAUGUUCGUCCUUACCCUUUAUCUCUUUUUAUAAUAAACUGGUGAACAGCAAGGACGCUUUCCCUGGGUUUUGUGAGCUGCUCUAACAAAUUCAUCAAACUCGAGAAGGGGAUCAUAGACCUUCUGAGUUGUAGCUGAAGGGUCAACACAGAUGACAACCUGGUCUCAUGAUUGGCGUGGGCAGUCUUGUGGGACUGAACCCUUAACCUGUGGGAUGUGACACUGUCUCCAAGUACAUAGGAUCGGAAUUGAGUUACACUGCAGGAUACCUGGCCCAGGUCACAGAAUUGCUUGGUGUGGGAACCCCCCCCCCCACACACACACACAUACACAGCUAGUGUGGUCGUUGCGUGAGAGUAAAGGAGAAACACAGGAGGUCAGAGUGUCUCUGCACAUGGAGGUUAAGACUUCAGCUCAACCCACAAACAUCCUGUUAGAUUAUAUCUUCAGAUGUGUGACAACGAAAACAAAGUAAAUAAGAAUUUCGUGAUUAAAAGCAAAAAAAAAUUUAGUUGUAUACACUAGGUUAGUAUUCAGAUGACUUUUCAAGUUUAAAUAGAAGCCUUUAGGGACACCUGGAUGGCUCAGUUGGCUAAGCGUCUGACUUCAGCUCAGGUCAUGAUCUCACAGUUUGUGAGUUCGAGCCCUGCCUCAGGCUCUGCGCUGCCAGUGUGGAACCUGCUUGGGAUUCUGGCUCUCCCCUCUCUGCCCCUCCCCACUUGCGCUUUCUCUCGCUCUCAAAAUAGAUAAACUUCAAAAAAAUAAAUAAGCAUUUAUAACUUUGCUCUCCAUUAUUUAGCACACCAACAACUCCAGUUAAACAAUGUAAACAUCUUAUGUGAUUUUAAUAUUAAAAUUCAAUUGGAAAUAAGCAGAAAACAAAAAUUUGUGCUGAAAUUUUAUAAUGUCUCAAAUAGCCUAACUUUUGCAUGAGGACUUUCUUUUUCUUGUAAGUGAGGAAUUAUGGCUUCUAAUUAGUGAUAGGCCCCAGGAGACAUGGCAGAUCUAAAAAAAGUAUAGGAGAAUUUUUGUUGAGAUCGAAAUUUCUGUUGAGCUUAGUGAUGGCAAAUUUGGAGGACAAGACUUUUCAGAAGAUGUUCUGUUCUAUUAAGCUUCUUUCUUUUCUUAUAGACUUUAGAAUUAGCAGUUUGAUCCUGAUAGGAGCCAUGUUGGAAAGGUUAAUGGAUUUGAAGCAUGUGAAAUAGUUCGUUUAAUUUUAACUCUAACCUAGAAUUUUGAGAACCAAGUUUAGGAGUAAGGAGUCCACUGCACAAAUUUUUUUCUCUUUAUCCCAAUAACCAUUUCUAUUUCUAUAGUUGUAUUGAUAAGUGUGGAUGAUUUUUUUUUUUUUUUAAGAGAGGGAGAAAACAAGUGAGCAGGGGAGGGGCAGAGGGAGGAGAGCGAGAAACGCAAUAAUCUACUGGUGAACAGCAAGGACACUUUUCCUGGGUUUUGUGAGCUGCUCUAAUAAACUCAUCAAACUCUGGAAGUGGGUCAUAGGACCACACUGGGCGUGGAGCCUGACACGGGGCUCAAUGGCACAACCGUAAGAUCACGCCCUGAGCCAAAAGUCAAGAGUUGGACACUUAACGGACUGAACCACCCAGGUGCCCUGAUUCUGUACUCAUUUAAAAAACUUAUUUCAGUUGUAAGAGCAAAAAAACAAAAAAAUCUUAUUUCAGUUGUAUCUUCAGCUUAUAUAUAACUUAAUCUAUAAAACUAUAAGGGGUCUUAUUUAUAAAGGUAAGCCAUAUAUAUAUAUCACACAUACAUAUACACACGUGUGUGUGUGCAUAUAUAUAUACACACACAUAUACACACACAUAUAUAUAUAUAUAUGCAUACACACACAGUUUUCUUAGAGAUAAACACAUAAGGAAUAAGACGAGGAGGGGGCCACGUCUGGGGAUUACACAAUUUGGCUCUGUGCCAGCCACUGUAACAUCUAGGAAAGCAGAAAGACAUGGGAAUAACAAAGAAGAAACAGGAUGCGGUCUUCCCGUCACUUUCUGUGGAUCGAGGCCAGUCGCUAAACAGACUUGUUAGGCCACACCUGUCCCACCUGGCUGAACAGCGAGAAGUUGCUACCAGUAAUGAUGGGAACCGAUUCAGGGAAGUAUAAUUAGAUUUCUGACCCAAGGCCCGAAUGGAUUUAGCAUCAUACACCCGUGUUAGCACAUAACUAGAAGACUUAGUAUUUAUUCAUUAAAGCAUACAGGAAAUCAAUUUACUUCAAAUUACAGGGCAAGUAAUAGAUACUCUGUGUCCUGAAUCUAACUAGAAUUGUUGCCAUUCGUCCAUCUCUUUUGGUUCUCUAGAUACAUCGAAGCAGUGUGUAACUACUCAGGGAGGCUGGAUGUUCCAGAGUUAUAUCUGCUUUGACUAGAGGGAGAAGCCAUUACACCCCCAACCAACAACCUUUAGAUUUCUUAUGUCCACUCUUAGCUUUUUAGCCUUCAAAUCAUGAUCAGCUUGGGUGCCCGGGUGGCUCAGUCUGUUAAGCAUCCGACUUCAGCUCAGAUCAUGAUCUCACAGUCCGUGAGUUCAAGCCCCGUUUUGGGCUCUGUGCUGACAACUCAGAGCCUGGAGCCUACUUUGAAUUCUGGGUCUCCCUCUCUCUCUGCCCCUCCCCUGGUCAUGAUCUCUCAGUCUCCCAAAAAUGAAUCAACACUAAAAAAACAAAUUUAAAUCACGAUCAGCUUUUCCUUUUUCAUGGUCCAUUGGCAAAGUUUCUUCUUUUUUGAUAGUUCUAAUUCCAAAGGAAGGCUUUCCCCUCCCCUGCCCCCUUAUUUAUGCUUAGAUUCAGGUUGGAUCAUCUCCCUACAAAAGUUUACAUCUUUAGAGAGCUGGCUCCAUUAAAAAUAGGCUUUUUAUUCAUCCAGUGAAAAUAGAUUAUGAACAAGCAACAAAACCACCAUUCUUUUCGCUUCACCCUUCUAGCCACCUCCUAGCCUACUUUUCAUGAUAGGAGCAGCCUUCUACAAUUUCCUGUUUCUGGUGAACAUGUGCAGCCAUUUUUGCUCAAAAAAAAAAAAAAAAUCCAGUCAAUGCAAUAUAUAGAGUACAUUUCUAAUCCCAUCUCCGUCUCUUCAACAUACACAUAUUUCUGUUUCUCUCAUGUUUUACACAAAAGGCUUUGAGCAAAAACCUUUUUCCACAUUGACCUCUUUUGCUAGAAUUGGGAAUUGAACCCAAGCGUAAGUGCUUUCGAAAGGCCUCUCUGCCUCUUACAGCUGUUCAGGGUUUCUUUUUAUCAUGAGUUUUCUGAUGUCGAGUAAGUUUGGAGUUUAAGCUAAAAGCUUUUCCACAUUGGUUACAUACAAAAGGUUUCUCUCCAGUAUGGAUUUUCAUGUGUUUGUUAAGAUUUGAGUUAUUGUUAAAGACCUUUUGACAUUCACUACAUUUAUAGAGUUUUUCUUUGGUAUGAAUGUUUUUAUGCCGGUUAAAAUCUGAGCAGAAGCGAAAGGUCUUUGGGCAUUCAGGACACGUAAAGGGCCGCUCUUCAGAAUGAGUUUUCUGAUGUUUAAUGACGCUUGACUGAUACUUAAAGGUUUUGUCACAAACAUUACACUUGUAUGGCCUCUCUCCAGUAUGACUUCUUUGAUGUUGAGUUAGGUCUGAGAAACGGACAAAGGUCUUUUUACAACUGCUACAGAUGUACUGUUUCUCUCCAGUGUGAACGUGUUGAUGACGCUGCAGAUCGAUGAGCUGCGUAAAGGCCUUUUCACAGUUGUCACAUGAAAAGGACUUCUCUCCAGUGUGAAUUUUCUGAUGUUUUUUAAGAUUGGAGCUGCUCUUGUAGGACUUGUCACAGUCAUUACAUUUGUAGGGUCUCUCUCCGGUAUGAACUCUCUGAUGGAGGACAAACUGUGAGUAUGGGCUGAAGUCCUUUUUGCAAUAGCUACACGUGUAGCAUUGCUUUCUCACGUGAAUUUUUUGGUGCUGCAUUUUCUCUGCGAAACUGUCAAAGGCCCUUCCACAAGACUUGCAGGCAAAGAGUUUCUUUUGAGAAUGAGGUUUUUGGUGGAGGAUCAGGUUUGGUCUCUUGCCGACGUGAAGCCUGUGGUGAACGUUAAAGGAGGAGAGAAACCUGAAGGCCUUUUGACACACACCACACUUGUAGGGCUUCAGACUGCUGUGCGCAUCCUGGUGCUGAAUAAACUUGGAAGUCCUGUUAAAGGUUUUUCCGCACUGGUUACACUCCAAGUGCUUAUCCAGAAUAGAGAGUCUUUGAAGCGUUGUGAAGGAUGAGGGAUGUCUGAAGGCCUUUGCGUUUUGGCCCGGUUUGUGGGCUUUCUGUACCGUGUGAAUUCUCUGAUGUCCAGUAAGAUGGGAGAGGUGGCUGAACGCCAUGCCGCAGCCCUCACAGUCAUAAGGCUGGACAAAAGUACAGAACUUUUGAUAUUUCGCAUGGUGACAGCUCGGUCUGAUGCUAGUCACAGAUUCACUAAGGGCAUGAUAACUGGCCAGUGCUGGCUGACAUGCUGUCAGGAGAACAAUAGGAGGGAAGCCGAAUUAAAUUCAGGCACUGCCACAAACAUCAAGAUCAUUAGUAAGUGGGGUACGGGGAGGGAACGGCUCAGUGACUGGGGACUUCAGAGAGGUGGGAGGAAGGAGAGACCCAUUCUCCAAGUAGAAGAAUAAUUUAAACGACCAACAGGUGGCCCGUGAAAGAUUUCUGUAAACUUGAAAUACCUACAUUGGUGACCGUGUAAAAAAAAAAAAAAAAAAAAAAAAAAGGCAAGUAGUUAAAAUUUUAAAUACCAAAUCACCAAAGCUUAAAGAAUCUAAAAAGAAUCACAUGAAAUUCUAGCGGGGAGUAAAGGUUAAUUUUCAUUAAGAUUCUUUAAAAUAGCUCUGCCAUAUAGAUACAGCAAUUUGUAAAAGUGAUUAUACUUUAAAUAUUUUCCAUUAAACGAUAAAAUUGGGGGUAUUUAUAUGAAUAGAUAUAAACCUGGCUUCUUAAUUUUACUGGUGUAUGAUGUAGAUUUUAUAUAUUUUACUGUAGGGCAGAGUCAAUAUUGAUUGGGCCAGUGCUCUACUUGGGUGGUUGAGUUGUAUUUUUGUUACUUCAAAGAACACCAAGCAUAUCUUAUAUAUCCAUCCUUGUAAAAUUUUUUUGAAAUGAAUUCUAGGCGUAGAUUCUUCAAAAUGAGAGGGAGUCCCAAAUUCUGAUACACACACUACACUCAAGCUUUAUGAUGCACAAGCACAUCAUUUUCUAGUAUCUUGAUGACCCACUGUUAAACUUAACUUUUUUGUCAGAGUGUGGGGCUAGAAGUUCUAGCUUUUGUGAUUAAAGAAACCUAAAUUAAAAUUGGUUAAUUGCUAGGGAAAAAAAUCAUUUUGAGCAUUUCUGCAGAACACAGAAAGUUUUAUAUAGAUUAAUCAAUAUAAAAAAUUUUACAGUGCCAAGAUGGUGAGCUAGCAUGGGUUUCUGUGAUCUUCCUCAUUCUAGAUCUUGAGAGGUACUGAAGUGAAAAUGGAUGGGUACCGAGGAAUAGUUUAAAACAGACAGGAGUAAUAUUUUCUAAAAGAUAAAGGUCAUUAUAACGUAAGACAGGAUCAGGUGAGAAUUAAAAAGAACAAGGUAGAAAUAACUGGUUUGAAGGUAUAAGGUUUAAAUAAACUUAAUAGUUCACAUUUAUAGCAAAAUUAUGCAAAGACAAAGCAGGAACAUGGAGAUCCUGAUUGGAGAACUUGAGGAAAAGGGCUGAAGAACUCAGAAGCUGGAAUAGAAGGACUAAAAGAGAAGGAUCACCAUCCAUUAAUAGAAGUCCUCGAGAGGAAAGAAAAGGAAAAAAAAGGGGAGAGGAUUUACCAACUUCACAUGGCUGAGUACAUGGGCAGCUGGAAGAGAGGAGAAAGAAGGAAGGACCAGAAAAAAAAAUAUUUGAGGGAAUAGACCAAAAACUUUCCCAACACAAUGAAAACUAUAAACCCACACAUUCAAGGAGCCCCACAAAUCCAAACUUGAGAAACGUGGAGAGACACCAAGGCACAUGAUGAUCAGAUUGUUCAAGAUCAGCAAUAAAGAGAAAACUUUUUUGAAAAAAGAAUAAAAAAUACAUUCUGCACAUUGAACAAAGAUCAGGAUGAUGAAGGACAUCAGAUUUCCCACUGGAAACACUACAGGCGAAACAAUAACAAAAAAGGGAGUAGAGCAAAAAUUUUAGUAUCCUGAAAACAAACAAAAAACACCCUACCAAGCCGAAUUCUUGCGCCCAGCAAAAAACUUUCAAAAAUGAAGGCCAGGGUGUCUGGGUGGCUGAGUUGGUUAAGCAUCUGACUUCGGCUCAGAUCAUGAUCUUGCAGUCCAUGGGUUGGAGCCCCACAAUGGGCUCUGUGCUGACAGCUGAGCGCCUGAAACCUGCUUUGGAUUCUGUCUCUCUCUCUCUCUCUCUCUCUCUCUGCCCCUACCUUUCUCGCUCUCUGUCUCUUCCUCUCAAAAUUAAACAUAAGAAAAAAAAAAGGGCAAAAAAAAAAAAAUUCAGAAAUACAGAAGUUGAAAGAUUUCCAGCAGAACUAUACUACAAGCAAAUGUAAAAGAUUUAAAUUUUUAAAAAUUUUAAGGCAAAAGAAAAAGGCUACCAGGUGGAAAUUUGGCUCUAUACAAAGGAACAAAGAAUAUCAAAAAUUGUAACUACAUGGUAAAUAUGUAAGGUUUUAAAAAUUACCUAAGGCUCUUUAAAAGAGUAUUGGGGCACUGGGUGUCUCAGUCAGUUAAGCAUCCGGCUUCGGCUCAGGGCAUGAUCUCCUGGUUUGUGAGUUCAAGCCCUGGGUUGGGUCUGUGCCGACAGCUUGGAGCCUGGGGCCUGCUUUGAAUUCUGUGUGUGUGUGUGUGUCUCUCUCUGCCCCUCCCCUGCUUGCUCUCUCUCUUUCUCUCUCUAAAAUAAACAAACAUAAAAAAAAAAGUAUUGGCUGAUUCAACACAAACAACAGUGUGUUGUGGGGCUUGUAACAGAUGGAAAAGUAAAUGUGUGGCAACAGCAUAAAGGCCAGGUGGAGAGAAAUGGAAGAACUGGUAUAUGAAAGAUGAUAUAUCCCAAACCUUAAUGCAAUCACGAACAUAAAGAGUUAUAGCUAAUAAGCCAACAAAGAAGAUAAAGUAGAAUUCUAAAAAGAUAGUCGACUCAAAAGAGGGCCAUAAAGAGACAAAGGGGAAUAAAGAACAGAUGUGACAAAUCAAUAACAAGAUGUGUUCAAACCUAACCAUAUCAAUAAUCAUAUUAAAUGUAAAUGGUAAUAAACUAGGUUUCUCAGUCAGGGCAUUAUUGACAAUUUGUACCAGAUGAUUCUUUGUCGUACAGACUGCCUUGUGCACAUAGGAUAUUUAAUAGCAUUUCUGGCCUCUGCCCCCUAAAUGCCAGCAGCACACUCCCAUCCCCAGCUGUGACCACCAAAAAGGUCCCCAGACACUGGCAGAUAUCCUAAGGGGACAAAAUCCCCUACACACACACACACACACACACACACACACACACACACACACACACUGAGAACUACUGGUAUAAAUAUUCCAAUUAAGAAGGUAGACAUUAUCAAGAUUGAAUAAAAAACGCCAAAUUAUGUAUUCUGUAAAGAAACUCACUAAGUAUUUAAAGACACAAUUAGGUUAAAAGGAAAAGGAUGGAAAAUAUGUCCACCCUGUUACCAGUCAAAAGAAAGCUUGAGUGGCUAGUUAUACUAAUAGUAGACAAAGCAAAUCUCCAAGCAAUAAAUAUUUCCAGGAAUGAAAAUAUUCCGUAAUAAUAAAGUGAUCAGUAGCAUAGCAACCUUGAAGUUCAUGCACCACAGAGCUUCAAAAUACAUGACAGAGAAAUAGACCUCACAAUUCUAGAGAUCUCAAUACCCUUUUCUCAGUAAUUGAUUAAAGAAGUAAGCAGAAUAUCAGCAAAUAUAUGAUAGGUUUGAACAGCACUAUCAAGCAACUAGAUCUAAUUGCUGUUUAUGGAACAUCAACCACAGAAUACACUUCUCAAGCGUACAAGGAAACAUUUCCCAGAUUGGACCACAUUCUGGCCAUAAAACAAGUCUUAACUCAGGAGGAUUCAAGUAAUGCAAGGUAGGCUCUCUCACUCUAACAGAAUUUAAAAUUUAGCAGAAAAAUCCCUGCAAAAUCCCUCAAUAUUUUCAAACUAAUAUACUUCUAAUUAUGUAAACAAGAAAUGAAAAGAGAACAAGUAUUUUAACUGAAGGAAAAUGAAGACACAAUAUGUAAGAAUUUGUGAGAUGCUACUAAAGCAGUAUUUGGGUAAAAUUCAUAGCACUAAGUGUCUAUAUUAGGAAGAAGAAAGGUCUCAAAUCAAGGACUUCAGCUUCCACUUUAAAAUUUUUUUAUAAGAGCAAAUUAAACCAAAGUAAGCAGAAAAAAAAGGAAAUAAAAAAGAAGAAAUCAGUGACCUAGAAAAUAAGAAACCAAUACAGACAAAAACAGUGGAACAAAAAGAUAAUCCAGAAAAGUGAUAAACCUAGCCAGACCAAUCAGGGAAAAAAGGAAGACACAAAUUACCAACAUCAGGAAUGAAAGUAGUGACCUAACUACAGAUUCUACAGCCAUAAGAAGGGGAGUAAGGGAAGGGGUACCUGGGUGACUCGAUACCCAUAAGGUAAUAACACCAGGGGCACCUGGGUGGCUCAGUUGGUUAAGUGACUUCGGCUCAGGUCACGAUCUCAUGGCUCGUUAGUUCAAGCCCCGCGUCGGGCUCUGUGCUGACAGCUCAGAGCCUGGAGCCUGUUUGGGAUUCUCUGUCUCCCUGUCUCUGUCCCUCCUCCCGCUCAUGCUGUGUCUCUCAAAAGUAAAUAAACAUUAAAAAAAAUUUUUUUAAACAGUAUAUUGCACUACAAAAUAAGGCAUAUAUGUAGGUAUAUAGAGGUACACACACUACAUGCACACACAUACGACAUGUAAAGAUCUCAGAAAUAGAAAUGGAAAGAUAAGAGAGGACACUUUUCACAACGCGUCAUGCAAAUUAAAAUGCACUCAUAUAUGAAACAGUAUUUUAUAUCUGAUAUGUGCAUAGGUAACAUAGGAAAUACAUCAGACUGGCUGUGGGUAGAGAGAACCAGACUGGACUACAGAGGAAGGGAUUAUAAAAUCAUGGGGGAUUCUCAAAUAGAGAGACAGUGAUCAUUAGCUAUCAACUGAAGAAUCUGACUGAAUUCUCCUUACAUGAUUGCCAGUCUGCCCACCACCUCAUUGCCAGCCAUACUGUCUAAACUGUAAUACUCAAAUUGGUGUGUGUGUAAGUGGUGAAAGCAAACAGGUUUGUUUUCUAAAACCACAAGUCUGAAGAGAGGAGGAAAAAAUACUGUAGGAAAUCUAAAAGUGACUACAACUUGAUAGAAAAGUAUGCAGCAGCACACAAAGAAUGAGAAAGUAAGGAAGAAAGGCAAAACACUAAUGGAAUAAUGAGAAAGUCCAGAGAGGACCCCUCUGAAUAGAUGAACGAGCUUGGUGUGAGAAAGGCGUUUGGGCCAGGUCAGGAAGUUUCUAAAGAAUAAGAAGGGGGCACCUGGGUGGCUCAGUCAGUUGAGCGUCUGACUUCAGCUCGGGUCAUGAUCUCAUGGUUCGUGAGUUCGAGCCCCGCAUCGGGCUCUGUGCUGACAGCUCGGAGCCUGGAGCCUGUUUCCGAUUCUGUGUCUCCCUCUCUCUGACCCUCCCCCAUUCAUGCUCUGUCUCUCUCUGUCUCAAAAAUAAAUAAACGUUAAAAAAAUUAAAAAAAAAAAAGAUUAAGAAGGCCCAGUGUUACUUGGAAUUCUUGUGAACAGUCUUACAAAAGCUUUGAAUUUCUUCCUGGGUUCCACACUCUCUUCCCAAAAUGUCUAUUACAGCUUAUAUGCAUUUUGGGAUUUUAUUCCACUCUUUGGAUCUAAUAAUGUGCCAAGCCAGAUCAUCAUCUGUUCCAGCUUUUAACUUUCUAUCCCUGGACUUUCAGGAGUCUGCCUUCUGUAUUGUGCCCUGAAACUUAAACACAUUUCUCUUAAAUCUCUAGUGAACUUGCAUUCCGGCAGUUUCUACUUUCUGUUGGUGAUGGGGGUGUCCUUGCUGUCCAUUAGAUGGCGAAUUGGAUUGUUUUUCUGGGGAUGGUUCAUCUGAUUAACCUAUUAGCUUAAUCUAGAGAUAAAAAAAAAAUCCCUCUCCAGAACGCUUUCUUGGGGGGAAAAAAAAGGCUUUUCAGGACACUUUUCUGAGCUAAGGCAUUCAUUCAUUCUAAUUACUGAUCAGUUAUUUGACCAGUUCAGCUAUUCAUACUUCUAGCUCUUCACAUGGUAAUUUUAGCCUCAGGAUUUUACCAGCAUGCCAUUUAAUGUCCUGAGACUAGGGGUAUAAUAAAAGGAGUCCAGGGAGAGUAAGAAACAUGCAGGGGAAAAAUAAGAGUUCUUUGGAAGCCUGUGGGGAGCUCUUCUUGUCACUUCAAGGGUCCAGGUUACUCUGACCAACUAGUUGGGAUAUAAGCUAGAACAGUUUCCACCUGCUUGGUGCUUGUCAGUUACCUGGGCACGGAGCACCGGUCACUUCUCUCUCUACCAUCAAGAGGUCUUUCCCUUGCUUCAAAGAGGAUAUGACUUCCGCCUUGUAAGUCCAGUGUCCUAAGAGAAACCAAUGACCUUGAUCAUGCUGUGGUCAUUACAGAAUUUAGACCCACACUUUUCAGUAAUAAUGUAUCUCCUUACCACCCUAAAAAUCUCCCAGCAACCUCCAAAGUAUUAUUGUUUUUCUUUUUUAAAAAAGUACCACUCAGGGGCACCUGAGUGGCUCAGUCAGUUAUGCGUCCAACUUCAGCUCAACUCAUGAUCUUGAGGGUCGAGAGUUUGAGUCCUGCUUUGGGGUGUCUGCUGUCGGCACAGGGCCUGCUUCAGAUCUCCAGUCCUGCCCCGCCUCUCUCAAAAAUAAACAUUAAAAAAAAAAAGGACCAUCUACAUUUAUAACAGUUCCCCAGCUGUUUCUGAGGCACACAGUAGCCUGAGAAGCAUGGUUCUUAAGGCAAGUGUGAUGGUUUGGAAGAUGGUGGAGAAUGUGAAGCUUGGGUCAUCACAAGAUGAAAAUGUCCUUUCCUAGCAUCACAGGGCUCCAGUCCUUUGCUGAAGGAGGUCAAGUUGAAAUUCAGUCAAGCAUUCUCAGGGGCUUUGAGAUAUUCACACAGAAGGAAAGAUUCCACCACAGGCAGUUUUAAACCAGCAGGGAAAGAUCUCCUUACCCAAAGACACAAGGUAAUCACAGUUAUCCAGCAUCACAUCCUUAUACAACUGUCUCUCUUCAGGGCUCAGAUAAGCCCACUGGUCCGGAGAAAAGAUCACAGCCACGUCUCUAAAUUUCACAGACUCCUGAAAUAACAGUUUAUGCUUUAUAUGUAUGCAAACUUCCGUGUGCCUCUUGGUAGUUUUCAAGUUGGGCAUAAGAGGGUGACAGCAUAUAAGGAUAGAUAAGGGGACACCUGGGUGGCUUAGUCAGUGAGGCAUCCAACGCUUGAUUUCGGCUCAGGUCAUGAUCCCAGGGUUUGUGAGAUGGAGCCCUGCAUCGGGCUCUGUGCUGACAGCACGAAGCCUGCUUGGGAUUCUCUCUACUCCCUCUCUCUGACCCUCCCCCACCCAUCCUCCCUCUCUCUCUCAAAAUAAACACUAAGAAAGAAAAAAGGAUAGGUAAGAAUGUGUGGCCGAAAGCGGUAAUGGAAAGCAGAAA